ACGCGUUAAGUUUCCGCUGGGGAGUACGCACGCAAGUGUGAAACUCAAAGGAAUUGACGGGGGCCCGCACAAGCGGUGGAGUAUGUGGUUUAAUUCGAUGCAACGCGAAGAACCUUACCAGGGUUUGACAUCCUGCGAACCCCUUGGAAACGAGGGGGUGCCUUCGGGAGCGCAGAGACAGGUGGUGCAUGGCUGUCGUCAGCUCGUGUCGUGAGAUGUUGGGUUAAGUCCCGCAACGAGCGCAACCCACGUCUUUAGUUGCCAGCAUUCAGUUGGGCACUCUAGAGAGACCGCCGGUGAUAAACCGGAGGAAGGUGUGGAUGACGUCAAGUCAUCAUGCCCCUUACAUCCUGGGCUACACACGUACUACAAUGCUACGGACAAAGGGCAGCAAGCUCGCGAGAGUAAGCAAAUCCCAUAAACCGUGGCUCAGUUCAGAUCGUAGGCUGCAACUCGCCUACGUGAAGGAGGAAUCGCUAGUAAUCGCAGGUCAGCAUACUGCGGUGAUACGUUCCCGGGCCUUGUACACACCGCCCGUCACACCAUGGAAGUUGGCCACGCCCGAAGUCGUUACUCCAACCCUUGUGGAGGAGGACGCCGAAGGUGGGGCUGAUGACUGGGGUGAAGUCGU
rnacentral:rRNA from 1 species